rnacentral:tRNA from 1 species
GUGGUUAUAGCUCAGUUGGCAGAGCAUCGGAUUGUGGUUCCGAGUGUCGUGGGUUCGAGCCCCACUAUCCACC